UUUCUAGAACUAUCGCGAGAGAGCGGGGCAGAGAGGAGCUGAACCAGAAAACACAUGCCAUCUCCGUCUCUUUCCUCCUCCUUCGUCUUCAACUUAGCCGCUGCGCGUGCGAACGUGUCGUUGCUGUCCUAGUUCAUAGCUUCUUCCUUUUCCUCUGUUUCUCACUGUCGGACCCUUCUUUUUCCUUCUCCAUUCUGUCUGACGGAGGGUGGCAAGCAUGUGAAGAUCCGAGCUGUUGUUGGAAGUCCGAGUAUGUUUCUUCCACCCCUGCUCGCAGCAUCAUCCCCUUCUUCCUUCCACUGUCUCUCGCUGCAGAAUUUCUGCUUCUCUUGUUCGUUUGUGCUGCUGUAAAUUCUCUCCUCCCCUGUUCUGCGAUUCCACGUGUUGGUCUGGGUGUGCACGUUGGAGUUUUGAUCUUCCACUUCAUUCUUUGUUCUUCUGCAGCAGUGUUGAUCAUUUGCAGCUUAGGAGUGGAGAAAAUAAAGAUGCAUUUUCAAGUUGAAAUUAAAGGUUAAGGAGUUCAUUUGAGGAUUAAAGAGCAAUCAUUGUGGCAAAAGGGACCAGUUAGUAGUAAGUUAUAUAUUCGGAAACUUUACAGGUAAGUGGAUAGCGUCCCAACUGAUAUUCUAAUAAUAUUUCUUUUACUGAAAUAUUACAUUUUUUUUAUAAAUCCUUUUUA